UACUUGUCGACUAUGGUUUGUGACCAGAU
rnacentral:piRNA from 1 species